rnacentral:rRNA from 1 species
AGAGUUUGAUCCUGGCUCAGAUUGAACGCUGGCGGAAUGCUUUACACAUGCAAGUCGAGCGGCAGCGCGGUCUUCGGACUGGCGGCGAGCGGCGAACGGGUGAGUAAUACAUCGGAACAUGCCCAGUUGUGGGGGAUAACACUUCGAAAGAAGUGCUAAUACCGCAUACGUCCUGAGGGAGAAAGCGGGGGAUCGCAAGACCUCGCGCGAUUGGAGUGGCCGAUGUCAGAUUAGCUAGUUGGUGGGGUAAAGGCCUACCAAGGCAACGAUCUGUAGCUGGUCUGAGAGGAUGAUCAGCCACACUGGGACUGAGACACGGCCCAGACUCCUACGGGAGGCAGCAGUGGGGAAUUUUGGACAAUGGGGGCAACCCUGAUCCAGCCAUUCCGCGUGAGUGAAGAAGGCCUUCGGGUUGUAAAGCUCUUUCGGCAGGAACGAAACGGUGAGCUCUAACAUAGCUCGCUAAUGACGGCACCUGAAGAAGAAGCACCGGCUAACUACGUGCCAGCAGCCGCGGU